GACGAACGCUGGCGGCGUGCUUAACACAUGCAAGUCGAACGGAAAGGCCCUGCUUUUGUGGGGUGCUCGAGUGGCGAACGGGUGAGUAAAAGGUGAUUAACCUGCCCUUGACUUUGGGAUAACUUCAGGAAACUGGGGCUAAUACCGGAUAGGAGCUCCUGCUGCAUGGUGGGGGUGGGAAAGUUUCGGCGGUUGGGGAUGGACUCGCGGCUUAUCAGCUUGUUGGUGGGGUAGUGGCUUACCAAGGCUUUGACGGGUAGCCGGCCUGAGAGGGUGACCGGCCACAUUGGGACUGAGAUACGGCCCAGACUCCUACGGGAGGCAGCAGUGGGGAAUAUUGCACAAUGGGCGGAAGCCUGAUGCAGCAACGCCGCGUGCGGGAUGACGGCCUUCGGGUUGUAAACCGCUUUCGCCUGUGACGAAGCGUGAGUGACGGUAAUGGGUAAAGAAGCACCGGCUAACUACGUG
rnacentral:rRNA from 1 species